rnacentral:rRNA from 1 species
UGGGGAAUCAUAGACAAUGGGGGAAACCCUGAUCUUGCCAUGCCGCGUGAGCGAUGACGGCCCUAGGGUUGUAAAGCUCUUUCACCGGUGAAGAUAAUGACGGUAGCCGGAGAAGAAGCCCCGGCUAACUCCGUGCCAGCAGCCGCGGUAAUACGGAGGGGGCUAGCGUUGUUCGGAAUUACUGGGCGUAAAGCGCACGUAGGCGGAUUGGUAAGUCGGGGGUGAACUCCCGGGGCUCAACCCCGGAACUGCCCUCGAUACUGGCAGUCUAGAGGUCGAGAGAGGUGAGUGGAAUGGCGAGUGUAGAGGUGAAAUUCGUAGAUAUUCGCCGGAACACCAGUGGCGAAGGCGGCUCACUGGCUCGAUACUGACGCUGAGGUGCGAAAGCGUGGGUAGCAAACA